AUUGAACGCUGGCGGUAUGCCUUACACAUGCAAGUCGAACGGCAGCACGGGAGCAAUCCUGGUGGCGAGUGGCGAACGGGUGAGUAAUGUAUCGGAACGUGCCCGGUCGUGGGGGAUAACGUAGCGAAAGUUACGCUAAUACCGCAUACGAUCUUUGGAUGAAAGCGGGGGAUCGCAAGACCUCGCGCGAUUGGAGCGGCCGAUAUCAGAUUAGGUAGUUGGUGGGGUAAAGGCUCACCAAGCCGACGAUCUGUAGCUGGUCUGAGAGGACGACCAGCCAAACGGGGGAUGAGACACGGCCCAGACUCCUACGGGAGGCAGCAGUGGGGAAUUUUGGACAAUGGGCGCAAGCCUGAUCCAGCAAUGCCGCGUGCAGGACGAAGGCCUUCGGGUUGUGAACUGCUUUUGUACGGAACGAAACGGCUCUUUUUAAUACAGAGGGUUAAUGACGGUACCGUAAGAAUAAGCACCGGCUAACUACGUGCCAGCCGCCGCCGUAA
rnacentral:rRNA from 1 species